GGAUCGAUGGCUUACCAUGCAAGUCGAGGGGUAACGAUGAUAGCUUGCUAUCAGGCGACGACCGGCGCACGGGUGCGUAACGCGUAUACAAUCUACCUAUUACAGGGGGAUAGCCCAGAGAAAUUUGGAUUAAUACCCCAUAGUAUUAUAAAGAGGCAUCUUUUUAUAAUUAAAACUCCGGUGGUAAUAGAUGAGUAUGCGUCUUAUUAGUUAGUUGGUGAGGUAACGGCUCACCAAGACCACGAUAAGUAGGGGUCCUGAGAGGGAGAUCCCCCACACUGGUACUGAGACACGGACCAGACUCCUACGGGAGGCAGCAGUGAGGAAUAUUGGGCAAUGGAGGCAACUCUGACCCAGCCAUGUCGCGUGCAGGAAGACGGUUCUAUGAAUUGUAAACUGCUUUUAUAGAGGAAGAAACCCACGCUCGUGAGCGUGGCUGACGGUACUCUACGAAUAAAGACCGGCUAACUCCGUGCCAGCAGCCGCGGUAAUACGGAGGGUCUAAGCGUUAUCCGGAAUCAUUGGGUUUAAAGGGUCCGUAGGCGGGCUAAUAAGUCAGAGGUGAAAUCCCACAGCUUAACUGUGGAACUGCCUUUGAUACUGUUAGUCUUGAGUCAUAAUGAAGUAGAUGGAAUGUGUAGUGUAGCGGUGAAAUGCAUAGAUAUUACACAGAACACCGAUUGCGAAGGCAGUCUACUAAUUAUGUACUGACGCUGAGGGACGAAAGCGUGGGGAGCGAACAGGAUUAGAUACCCUGGUAGUCCACGCCGUAAACGAUGGAUACUAGCUGUUAGUCAUGCCGUAGGGUAUGAUUAGUGGCCAAGCAAAAGUGAUAAGUAUCCCACCUGGGGGAGUACGUUCGCAAGAAUGAAACUCAAAGGAAUUGACGGGGGCCCGCAC
rnacentral:rRNA from 1 species